rnacentral:sRNA from 1 species
GCUGGGCAUGGUGGCACCUGCCUGUAAUCCCAGUGGCUUGGGAGGCUGAGGCAGGAAGAUUGAGAGUUCAAAGCCAGCCUCAG